GCUUUGCUUGCCAUGUCAAACUCGGAUUCCUCCAUUUUGUACAUUUCGAUGAGCUGAAAAAUAACAGUAAUUAAAUUAUAUACCACAGUGGGCUGUGGGACAGUUUUUGGGACAUGAUUGGUGUAUAACUUAUCCAGUAUACACUAACCGCGUUUCGUUAGAAAAUGUACAAUAAAAAAGAUGGAAUGUUGUCCUUACUGGACAUGACAGAUAAUCUGAAGUCCAGGCGUUCGUAAAUGAGAGCUAUUUGUGGGGUUUGCGUAUAUAAAUAAAUUAACCUGACUUUGCGCUUACCUUGACGAGUUCGCAUCAGUGUUUCAUAAACAGAUAUGAACGGAAGUUUAAUGACUUACAAGAAAAAAAUGCUCCGGUUUCUUCUCUGGCCCACUCUCCUCUAUACCCAUGGCCUUCAUAUUGUCUGUUCUCUCCUUCGCCGCUCCCAUGAAAGCACGCGGAUCGGACAGAGCCGCCAUGAAAUCUAACAUAAG